UACGUAGGGUCCGAGCGUUGUCCGGAAUUACUGGGCGUAAAGAGCUCGUAGGUGGUUUGUCGCGUUGUUCGUGAAAACUCACAGCUUAACUGUGGGCGUGCGGGCGAUACGGGCAGACUUGAGUACUGCAGGGGAGACUGGAAUUCCUGGUGUAGCGGUGGAAUGCGCAGAUAUCAGGAGGAACACCGGUGGCGAAGGCGGGUCUCUGGGCAGUAACUGACGCUGAGAAGCGAAAGCGUGGGGAGCGAACAGG
rnacentral:rRNA from 1 species